rnacentral:rRNA from 1 species
ACGCUCGACACCUACGGGAAGGCAGCAGUGGGGGAUAUUGCGCAAUGGGGGGAACCCUGACGCAGCAACGCCGCGUGAAGGACGAAGGUUUUCGGAUUGUAAACUUCUUUUGUCAGGGACGAAGAAAUGACGGUACCUGACGAAUAAGCUCCGGCUAACUACGUGCCAGCAGCCGACGGUAAUCUGAGGCGGGCGUGGACGAAGGC